UACGUAGGGCGCAAGCGUUGUCCGGAAUUAUUGGGCGUAAAGAGCUCGUAGGCGGCCUGUUGCGUCCGCUGUGAAAUCCCGGGGCUUAACCCCGGGCGUGCAGUGGAUACGGGCAGACUGGAGGCAUGCAGGGGAGAACGGAAUUCCUGGUGUAGCGGUGAAAUGCGCAGAUAUCAGGAGGAACACCGGUGGCGAAGGCGGUUCUCUGGGCAUGUCCUGACGCUGAGGAGCGAAAGUGUGGGGAGCGAACAGG
rnacentral:rRNA from 1 species